rnacentral:rRNA from 1 species
AGAAUCAACGCUGGCGGCGUGCCUAACACAUGCAAGUCGAACGCGAAAGCCCCGCAAGGGGUAAGUAGAGUGGCAAACGGGUGAGUAACACGUGGGUGACCUGCCUUCGAGUGGGGGAUAACGUCCCGAAAGGGACGCUAAUACCGCAUGACAUCCUGCUUUUGGAAAAGCGGAGAUCAAAGCUGGGGAUCGCAAGACCUGGCGCUUGAAGAGGGGCCCGCGCCUGAUUAGCUAGUUGGUAGGGUAACGGCCUACCAAGGCAACGAUCAGUA